rnacentral:rRNA from 1 species
UACAGAGGUGGCAAGCGUUGUUCGGAAUUACUGGGCGUAAAGGGCGCGUAGGCGGCCAUCUAAGUCAGACGUGAAAUCCCCCGGCUUAACCUGGGAACUGCGUCUGAUACUGGACGGCUUGAGUAUGGGAGAGGGAUGUAGAAUUCCAGGUGUAGCGGUGAAAUGCGUAGAUAUCUGGAGGAAUACCGGUGGCGAAGGCGGCAUCCUGGACCAUUACUGACGCUGGAGGCGCGAAAGCUAGGGGAGCAAACGGG